rnacentral:rRNA from 1 species
GGCAGGCCUAAUACAUGCAAGUCGGACGGGAUCCGUCGGAGAGCUUGCUCGAAGACGGUGAGAGUGGCGCACGGGUGCGUAACGCGUGACCAACCUACCUCUAUCAGGGGGAUAGCCUCUCGAAAGAAAGAUUAACACCGCAUAACAUAUGUGACCGGCAUCGGUUGGAUAUUAAAUAUUUAUAGGAUAGAGAUGGGCUCGCGUGACAUUAGCUAGUUGGUAGGGUAACGGCUUACCAAGGCGACGAUGUCUAGGGGCUCUGAGAGGAGAAUCCCCCACACUGGUACUGAGACACGGACCAGACUCCUACGGGAGGCAUCAUUAAGGAAUAUUGGUCAAUGGGCGGAAGCCUGAACCAUCCAUGCCGCGUGCAGGAUGACUGCCCUAUGGGUUGUAAACUGCUUUUGUCCCGGAAUAAACCUUUCUACGUGUAGGAAGCUGAAUGUACUGGAAGAAUAAGGAUCGGCCAACUCCCUGCCACCAGCCGCGGUAACACGGAGGAUCC